GUNGUAUAANCUUUUUGGAGUGUAAGCUCUGUCACGAAGGGAAUAAGGAGGGUGCUAACUAAUAAUUAGCGCCAUUGACGGUACCUUCAGAGGAAGCCCCGGCUAACUCCGUGCCAGCAGCCGCGGUAAUACGGAGGGGGCAAGCGUUGUUCGGAAUUACUGGGCGUAAAGCGCGCGUAGGCGGUCUUAUAAGUCAAGCGUUUAAUCCCUCGGCUUAACUGAGGUUCUGCGUUUGAUACUGUAAGACUUGAGUACGGGAGAGGAGAGUGGAAUUCCAUGUGUAGCGGUGAAAUGCGCAGAUAUAUGGAGGAACACCUGUGGCGAAGGCGGCUCUCUGGACCGCUACUGACGCUGAGGUGCGAAAGCGUGGGGAGCAAACGGGAUUAGAUACCCCGGUAGUCCACGCCGUAAACGAUGGGUACUUGGUGUAGGGGGCAUCGACCCCCUCUGUGCCGGAGCUAACGCAUUAAGNACCCCGCCNNGGAGNCGNGGCAA
rnacentral:rRNA from 1 species